GGUGAGCCCGGGGAGGCAGGCGCGGUAAUACGGAGGGUCCGGGCGUUAAUCGGAAGUACUGGGCGUAAAGCGCACGCAGGCGGUUGGAUAAGUUAGAUGUGAAAGGCCCGGGCUCAACCUGGGAAUUGCAUUUAAAACUGUCCAGCUAGAGUCUUGUAGAGGGGGGUAGAAUUCCAGGUGUAGCGGUGAAAUGCGUAGAGAUCUGGAGGAAUACCGGUGGCGAAGGCGGCCCCCUGGACAAAGACUGACGCUCAGGUGCGAAAGCGUGGGGAGCAAACAGGAUUAGAUACCCCAGUAGUC
rnacentral:rRNA from 1 species